AGGGCGCAUGGAGGAUGCCUAGGCUCUCGGAGGCGAAGAAGGACGUGAUAAGCUGCGAAAAGUUACGGUAAGGCGCAAAUAGCCGUAGACCCGUAAAUAUCCGAAUGGGGCAACCCGGCCAGCAAUGGCCAUACCGCCAAGCGGUAAGCCAACGCGGGGAACUGAAACAUCUAAGUACCCGCAGGAAAAGAAAAUAACCAUGAUUCCGCAAGUAGUGGCGAGCGAACGCGGAACAGCCCAAACCACCCGUGUUACGGCACGAGUGGGGUAGAAGGAUCCACGCUACGGCAAGAAAUAAGUUAGCGGAAUACGAUGGAAAUCGUAGCCAAAGACGGUGACAGCCCAGUACGCGAAAACCGACAGAAGCCCAGUGGACACCUGAGUAACCCAGGACACGAGAAAUCCGGGGCGAAUCAGCGGGGCCCAUCCCGUAAGGCUAAAUACUCCCGAGAGACCGAUAGCGAACCAGUACUGUGAAGGAAAGGUGAAAAGAACCUCGAACAGAGGAGUGAAACAGACCCUGAAACCAUGCGCCUACAAGCGGUCGGAGCAUGUUAAAAUGUGACGGCGUGCCUUUUGCAUAAUGAACCUACGAGUUACUCUCGCUGGCAAGGUUAAGCGAUUCAGUCGCGCAGCCGAAGCGAAAGCAAGUCCGAACAAGGCGUACAGUCAGCGGGAGUAGACGCGAAACCAAGUGAUCUACCCUUGGUCAGGUUGAAGGUUGGGUAACACCAACUGGAGGACCGCACCGAUAAGCGUUGAAAAGCUUACGGAUGAACUGAGGGUAGGAGUGAAAGGCCAAUCAAACUUGGAGAUAGCUCGUACUCCCCGAAAUGCAUUUAGGUGCAGCCUCGAAGUAAAGUGAUAGAGGUAGAGCGACUGAUAAGAUGCGAGGGCUUCACCGCCUAUCAAGUCUUGACAAACUCCGAAUACUAUCACUUGAUCUUUGGGAGUGAGGGCAUGGGUGCUAAGGUCCAUGUCCGAAAGAGGAACAACUCAGACCACCAGCUAAGGUCCCGAAAUAAGGGCUAAGUUGAAUAAACGAAGUAAAACUGCAAAGACAGCUAGGAUGUUGGCUUGGAAGCAGCCAUUCAUUUAAAGAGUGCGUAACAGCUCACUAGUCGAGGAGUUUUGCAUGGAUAAUAAUCGGGCAUAAGCCCUUUACCGAAGCUGUGGAUGUCGUAAGACAUGGUAGGGGAGCAUUCCGGCGGCGACGAAGGCCGUCCUCGAGGACGACUGGAGCUUUCGGAAAAGCAAAUGUAGGUAUAAGUAACGAUAAAGGGGGCGUGAAACCCCCUCGCCAUAAGACUAAGGAUUCCUGAUCAACGCUAAUCGGAUCAGGGUAAGUCGGGCCCUAAGGCGCAGCCGAACGGCGUAGCCGAUGGAAGAAACGGUAAAGAUUCCGUUACUGGAUAUAGGAGCGAUGUGGAGACGGAGAAGUGACACACCCGCCUGCCGACGGAAGCGCAGGUUAAAGGAAGUAGGUAAACGCCGGGUAGGCAAAUCCGCCUGGCGUGCCGAAGCUGACAGUAUCGAGAGCCCCCGGGCAAUCGAAUAGCGGUGGUAAUCAGGCUCCCAAGAAAAUCCGCUAAGCAUAUUCUAUAUCCACCCGUACCCCAAACGGACACACGUAGUCGGGUAGAAUAUACCAAGGCGCUCGAAAGACUCACGGUUAAGGAACUAGGCAAAUUGACCCUGUAACCUCGGGAAAAAGGGUCCCCAGUAAGAUGGGGCGCAGAGAAUAGGUCCAGGCAACUGUUUAACAAAAACACAGGGCUGUGCAAAAUUUCAAGAUGAAGUAUACAGCCUGACACCUGCCCGGUGCCGGAAGGUUAAGAGGAGAGCUAAUCGCAAGAGAAGGCUUGAAUUGAAGCCCCGGUAAACGGCGGCCGUAACUAUAACGGUCCUAAGGUAGCGAAAUUCCUUGUCGGGUAAGUUCCGACCUGCACGAAUGGUGUAAUGAUCUGGACACUGUCUCAACCGUGACUUCGGUGAAAUUGUAGUAUCGGUGAAGAUGCCGAUUACCCGCAACGGGACGAAAAGACCCCGUGAACCUUUACUGCAACUUAGCAUUGCGUUUGGGCAUUUGAUGUGUAGGAUAGUCCGGAGGCUACGAGUCGGCGACGCCAGUCGUCGAGGAGCCGCUGUUGAAAUACGGACCUUCGAAUGUUUGAGCGCUAACUCGCUGUAGCGAGGACACUGUUUGGUGGGUAGUUUGACUGGGGUGGUCGCCUCCAAAAGCGUAACGGAGGCUUCU
rnacentral:rRNA from 1 species